UACGAAGGGGGCUAGCGUUGCUCGGAAUCACUGGGCGUAAAGCGCACGUAGGCGGAUCUUUAAGUCAGAGGUGAAAUCCCAAGGCUCAACCUUGGAACUGCCUUUGAUACUGGGGAUCUCGAGUCCGGAAGAGGUGAGUGGAACUGCGAGUGUAGAGGUGAAAUUCGUAGAUAUUCGCAAGAACACCAGUGGCGAAGGCGGGUCUCUGGGCCGAUACUGACGCUGAGGAGCGAAAGCGUGGGGAGCGAACAGG
rnacentral:rRNA from 1 species